rnacentral:rRNA from 1 species
AUUGAACGCUGGCGGCAGGCCUAACACAUGCAAGUCGAGCGGUUGAAGGGAGCUUGCUCCUGGAUUCAGCGGCGGACGGGUGGGUAAUGCCUAGGAAUCGGCCUGGUGGGGGGGGAUAACGUCCGGAAACGGGCGCUAAUACGGCAUACGUCCUGGGGGGGAAAGUGGGGGAUCUUCGGACCUCACGCUAUCAGAUGAGCCUAGGUCGGAUUAGCUAGUUGGUGGGGUAAAGGCCUACCAAGGCGACGAUCCGUAACUGGUCUGAGAGGAUGAUCAGUCACACUGGAACUGAGACACGGUCCAGACUCCUACGGGAGGCAGCAGUGGGGAAUAUUGGACAAUGGGCGAAAGCCUGAUCCAGCCAUGCCGCGUGUGUGAAGAAGGUCUUCGGAUUGUAAAGCACUUUAAGUUGGGAGGAAGGGCAGUAAGUUAAUACCUUGCUGUUUUGACGUUACCAACAGAAUAAGCACCGGCUAACUUCGUG